GACGAACGCUGGCGGCGUGCUUAACACAUGCAAGUCGAGCGGAAAGGCCCUGCUUUUGUUGGUCGGUCGUUUGCCGCACGGGUGUGUAUCACGUGUGUAUCCUGUCCUUGUCUUUCGGGUAACUCCACGGAACUGGGGAGCUUACCCGGGAUGAGAUCCUGCUCCACGGUGGGGAUUGGAAAGUUUCGGUGUUUGUGGCUGGUAUAGAGGCUUAUCAGCUGGUUGGGGGGGUAGUGGCUUUCCAGGGCUUUGACGGGUAGCCUGCAUGAGAGGGUGACCGGCGACAAUGGGACUGAGAUACGGCCCAGACGCCUACGGGAGGCAGCAGGGGAGAAUAUGGCACAAUGGGCGGAAGUCUGAUGCAGCAACGCCGCGUGCGGGAUGACGGCCUUCGGGUUGUAAACAGCUUUCGCCUGUGACGAAGCGGGAGUGACGGUAAUGGGUAAAGAAGCACCGGCUAACUACGUG
rnacentral:rRNA from 1 species